UACGUAGGUGGCAAGCGUUGUCCGGAUUUACUGGGCGUAAAGAGCGCGCAGGCGGUCAGAUAAGUCGAAUGUGAAAGCCCCCGGCUCAACUGGGGAGGGUCAUUCGAUACUGUUCGACUCGAAGGCAGGAGAGGGUAGUGGAAUUCCCGGUGUAGUGGUGAAAUGCGUAGAUAUCGGGAGGAACACCAGUGGCGAAGGCGACUACCUGGCCUGUUCUUGACGCUGAGGCGCGAAAGCUAGGGGAGCAAACGGG
rnacentral:rRNA from 1 species